rnacentral:rRNA from 1 species
CCCCUGUGAACAUACCACUUGUUGCCUCGGCGGAUCAGCCCGCUCCCGGUAAAACGGGACGGCCCGCCAGAGGACCCCUAAACUCUGUUUCUAUAUGUAACUUCUGAGUAAAACCAUAAAUAAAUCAAAACUUUCAACAACGGAUCUCUUGGUUCUGGCAUCGAUGAAGAACGCAGCAAAAUGCGAUAAGUAAUGUGAAUUGCAGAAUUCAGUGAAUCAUCGAAUCUUUGAACGCACAUUGCGCCCGCCAGUAUUCUGGCGGGCAUGCCUGUUCGAGCGUCAUUUCAACCCUCAAGCACAGCUUGGUGUUGGGACUCGCGUUAAUUCGCGUUCCCCAAAUUGAUUGGCGGUCACGUCGAGCUUCCAUAGCGUAGUAGUAAAACCCUCGUUACUGGUAAUCGUCGCGGCCACGCCGUUAAACCCCAACUUCUGAAUGUUGACCUCGGAUCAGGUAGGAAUACCCGCUGAACUUAAGCAUAUCA